rnacentral:snRNA from 1 species
GGAUGUGAGGGCAAUCUGGCCACAACAUCUGUCACCCCACUGAUCGAUCACCAGGGUUGGUUUGGCUGAUCUGGUUGGGAAGGCAGGUGUCCCCUUCCCCCCUCACCACUCAUGUGUGUCCCUCCUAAAGCAAUGCACUCUGUAUAAGAGGACGACGUUUCCGGUUUAGAGGAGGACCGUGCUUUGUUAAAGGGUAUACAAAUAGCUGCUCUCCCUUGCUAGAACCCCCAAACAAGCUCUCAGAAAGGAAGACAGUAGGACAAAAUUUAAAGUGUGAAUAUUU